UGCUACAGCAGGAAGGUGGAAACCCAUCCAGUCAUUCCAGCUAUGGUAAUGAAGGAAAGGAAGACAUUAAAAUAUUGGGACACAGACUUAGGAGUGCAGGAUGGAUGGAUGGAGACAAAGGGGAAUGAUCAAAUUCCCUCAUGGAGUAAUUGAGCAACGUCACAAGGAAACGUUGCAGAAGAACGUAGAAUUAGUGAAAACAAAAUGCAGAGGCAAAAGUAUGCCUGCUUCCAUUUUAUGGAAUCCAAUCCAGGAAGGAGGGCAGUUUGUCACUUAGACUGAAGUUGUGUCACGCUUGUCGUUGGAAAUUGAGGACCAAAACACAGCAGCCUCCCCCCUUGUGAAUCUCCACUGGAAACAGAGCUUCCCUGUAACCCUACAACUUCAGUGUCUGCAGAUCUGAAUCAACUGGAUGGGUUGACAGCAAUAUGGCAGAGACUCUCUUCAACCUACUGGAAGCUUGGCUGGGUGGAGCCUUCUCCAUUUGCCUACAGACAGAAACUAAAACAGGAAACGCCCGUGCUCAGGUUUGUUCAACGCUGGUCCGACCAAUCUGAUUCCACGCUUCAAGAUUGCUUCGUUCACAUGGACUGGGAUAUGUUCCGGAUAGCGUCGGACAACAACAUUGAUGUAUAUGCUGAUUCGGUGAGCGAGUUAUUUAGCAAGUGCAUCGGUGAUGUUGUACCCACAGCGACUAUUAAAACCUUCCCCAACCAGAAACCGUGGAUUGAUGGCAGCAUUUGCGCAAAACUGAAAGUGCGAACCACUGCUUUUAAUCAUGGCAAGGCGACCGGAAACAUGACCGAAUACAAACAGUGUAG
rnacentral:lncRNA from 1 species